rnacentral:rRNA from 1 species
GAUGAACGCUGGCGGCGUGCCUAAUACAUGCAAGUCGAGCGAACAGAUGAGGAGCUUGCUCCUCUGACGUUAGCGGCGGACGGGUGAGUAACACGUGGAUAACCUACCUAUAAGACUGGGAUAACUUCGGGAAACCGGAGCUAAUACCGGAUAAUAUAUUGAACCGCAUGGUUCAAUAGUGAAAGACGGUUUUGCUGUCACUUAUAGAUGGAUCCGCGCCGCAUUAGCUAGUUGGUAAGGUAACGGCUUACCAAGGCAACGAUGCGUAGCCGACCGGAGAGAGUGAUCGGCCACACUGGAACUGAGGCACGGUCCAGACUCCUACGGGAGGCAGCAGUAGGGAAUCUUCCGCAAUGGGCGAAAGCCUGACGGAGCAACGCCGCGUGAGUGAUGAAGGUCUUCGGAUCGUAAAACUCUGUUAUUAGGGAAGAACAAAUGUGUAAGUAACUAUGCACGUCUUGACGGUACCUAAUCAGAAAGCCACGGCUAACUACGUG